rnacentral:RNase_P_RNA from 1 species
CGAGCAGUUCAGGCGGCCGCUGCGUUUCGGCGCAGAGGAAAGUCCGGGCUCCGCAGGGCAAGAUGCCGGAUAACGUCCGGCCGGCGCAAGCCGAGGGAAAGCGCCACAGAAAGGAUACCGCCCCCUGUCCGACGGACGGAGGGUAAGGGUGAAAAGGCGGGGCAAGAGCCCACCGGGUGCGGCGCAAGCCGUAUGCCAGGCAAGCCCCAUCUGGAGCAAGGCCGAAUAGGGAGGGAUACGGUGGCCCGCCGUCCUCCGGGUACGGCCGCUUGAGGCGCUCCGCGAGGAUGCGUCCAGAUAAAUGGCCGCUAUAUACAGAACCCGGCUUAUGAACUGCUCAUUUU